GAAGAAAAAAUAAUUAUCUUAACUCUUAAGAGUUGGAGAUGAAUGGAUGGCCAAAAGAAAAACAAAUUAUCAAAUUUGAAGUAGCCCAUAGAGUAGGCUAGAAAGUAAUAAUACUCAUCCAAAUGUUGGAAUUUAGUCAUUUACAAUUGAACUUCUGAGUUCUGACCGUAGCUCACAUGUCAUGUGUGGACCUCUAUUCAUAAAAUACGAAAGUGGGCUUUGGGCUCAUACUCACAGGCCUGCAGCCCGUCAAUCGAGUCCAACUAUUACCUACUCACCUUAAUGAGAAUUACAACAUCCCUGCUUCUACACUUGCUUCGUAACUCCCCAGCCCAACUUUCAAAAAGGCAAGUUUUUAACCCAAAAAGGCAACAAGGAUAAAUUCCGUGAUCAUGGCCGUUGAUCCAAUGGAUUAUAUUUGCUUAGCUUGGUUCGAUCAUUGUCCCACUCCCUCCAAUCAGGAGAUCUAGCUUUUAAACAAUUCGGGGACCAGCUAAAGCUGCAACCCGGUGCUUACUCUGUUUUCAGCCUCAAAUCCGAUUGCCAUCUGUCCUACAUUCUGCUCAUGUUCAUUCAUAAAUGGAGCAAUCUGAAAGACCAAUGAAAACUUGCCAAUUAUAUAAUCCAUUAAAGAAAAAAAAGUGGAAAAAAAAAGAAAAAAAAGAAAGAGCGAGCCCGAACGAGUCAAUUGAACAAAAGCAGCCAGUCUGCCCAUUUGAUUGAAUAUAAUAGAGCCGGAUGCGCUGAUCGGCUGAUGAAACUUUCUAUCUACACAUGUUUUUUUCCCUUUUUU
rnacentral:lncRNA from 1 species